GUAGCCUAUAGAGAUCUCUGGCCCGAGUAGGGCUUGGGCAGAGAAACCUAGACCCCUUCGGGUUUAGGGCCCUGCCUGGGCUAGCUAUAGCCGUCGGGCCGGUUCCGUGCGGGUAAAUCAAAGGAAGGCCGUGCUCGGGCCGGGCCUGGGUCUAAGAAUGCAGCCCGUACGGUGCUCUGAUAAGGAGACCAUAUAACGUGCCAAGAGAAGUACUGCAGCGCCACCCCGCAGCGUAGUGUCAUGUGGCCAGCUCAGCAGCCAAUACGGAUGGAGAGUGAGUAUGAUGGGGUGCAUUAGUUCGCGGAGGAACGAGCGUGAGCUCCGUGUCCAGCCAUCCUAUCUGCAACGGAGUAAUAUUUUGAGAGCUCACCGACUACACUUCUUUUCCUUCCUAAGUUGAACACGACUAUAGUCUUACAAUUUGAAUAUGGCGGCACGUGGGAUUUUGAGUGUACUACUACUUGAUCAUUUCCUUUCAGGAUCGCGUCAACUAUUGCGUGGAGUGGUGCAGGUAUUCGACGGCAGAAACAUGGCAUCGAAGGAACCGGGACGGAGAAGACUGCAGAUACUGGAGAGCCAACAAUCGCAACAAAUGGACGCAAAGUGGCAAAUGUCGAAAUGGAAGAUGCACCUAGUGGCCCUUCUGUGUUCCGUGGAAAGACUGACUGUCAUAACGCCCCUGCUGUUUCGCCUGGACUCACGCUGUUUCUCGCAAAUACAUGUCAAGUACUUAACGC